UAGCCUAGUGGGUAAGGCCAUGGAUUGCCAAUCCGGAUACGGCGGAUUCGAUUCCCGU
rfam:Aedes albopictus isolate Foshan contig123897, whole genome shotgun sequence.